rnacentral:snRNA from 1 species
AUAUACUAAAAAAAAAAAAAAAUUGGAACGACACAGAGAAGAUUAGCAUGGCCCUGCGCAAGGAUGGCAUGCAAAUUCCUGAAGCGUUCCAUGUUAAA